GGAAAACCCUGGACUAUUUUCAAAAAAUAUUUUUUUGUUACCCAGUGUUAUGAUGAUCUGCACUGGCGUUGACCUGUCUCCAAUGAUACUGCUACAGAAACAAAACAAAAAUGUUUAUUCCGUUCUCCGCAGUGACACACUUACAAGAGUACGGUGCAAAGAGAGCCUGCCCGGUGUUCUGUUUUGCACCCUUGUCAAGAUGUGCAUAUCCUCACGCAAAACAACGGCUUUGACACGUGUGAGAGAGAAAUGCUCCCUUUUCUUUCACAAAAUGUACUCCUUUUGUCAUUAUCAUAUGUUUUACUUUAUUUAAUGUUCAAACUUGGAGAGUUUCUAUAAUUUGUACAGUGCUCCAGCUGUAAAUGUAAGGCACAUGAAGCUUAUGAUUUCUUGUUGUUCAUGUUUACCUUAUAUUGCAUUUAGCCGAUGAAUCAAAAUAGCUUUAUGAUAUUCCCAAUACAACAUCAUGUUAUGGGCUCUUUUUGCCGCUGACAUUUAGAUCUAGAGCAUGUUACUCUUUCAUAAAUAUUCAAAAAUAUUCUAGUUUUAACUUAAGUAAAUAAGCAGGAAAAUAUAACAAUGAAGCUGCUGAAAUAAAUAACAGUUUGAUGGUUUUGUGAAAGACAAGGGAGCAUUUUGCUCUUACAUGUCCCAAAGCAGUUGUUUAUGUGUGAGGAGAUGCAAACCUUGAUAACGGUGCACGAUUCGGCAGAACAACAGAACUUCCAUUGUUGUCAUUGCUGCCUGUGCUGUCCUCCACAAAAGAAGACCUGCAGACCUGCACACUGGGCCAAUGCUGUUGUCACCGUCAUAUACUCAAAGUCUGAAACAGUUUCCAAUGGGAUAAACCAGGCACAACAAUGUCUUAAUAAAGUGAAUGUUCUUCAUUCAUUUAUUUGCUGGUGUAAAUACAAAACAAGUUUAGUUUACAGCUGUGCCAAAUAUAGAAACUUCUACUUUACACGUCCUUAGCACUGAGAAGAGCAUUUAAAACAAUGUCCCAGAGGAAUAUACAUUUGACCCAAUAUACUGUAGAAUAUAAUUUUCCGUUUGUGAGACUAAAAUAAACCCUUAUGGUAUAUACCAAGAUAGGAAUAUUUGUGUAUACUAACUAGUUCAUACUAGUUAAUAUUUGUAUUAUGAAAAGAUGCAUGAAAAUUUAAGAACAAUAACCCUGAGGCCAGCUAUAGUGCUAUACUGCGUUUAAGCAGUAGGUGGCCGAACCUAUCCAAUUUUGCAUUUAAAAUGUGACUGUCUGUAAAAAGGUAACUUUGAGAGAAGUCACUGUGGAUUUCAUCUAACGGAUUUCUUUGAAGGGCUCCACACUAUGUCUUAUGUUAUUUUUACAAAAUCUUUUGUGGAGCAGUGGUGUCUGACUGUUGGAGCAAUGAUAUAAAAAACACUUCUGAAAAUAAACAUUGUCUUCUUAAUGAUGGAUUGCUUUGAUAUCAGUUGAGUUUUUGGGGUAUUUUUUAUUCUCUUAACAAAAAAACAAGCAUAGACAGCACCUUACUGUCAUUGAUACUGUGAUAACUACAAGGCAAACUAGUUUGGAUACUGGGAUAUUAACAUGUCAUUUAUCAUUUGAGACAAAUAGUUCUAAGUGGUAAAUAAGAUGGAGAUAGGUUUAGCUUAAUAGUUUAAGUAUUAAUAAGGCUACAUAGUCAACAAUAGCCGUGUGUAGCAACAUUAGCGUUAGCUGAGGGAGCAGCUGACAGUCAGGCAAUUGCCUUUCUGCUCCCACUUUAGACAAACCAUAAAUGCAUUAAAUAUCCAGAAGAACAUUUUGUACAGCCCUCCAAACACACAAUAAUAAUCAUAAGGCAAACUUAAAAAUAUAUAUAUAUAAAAAGCGUAGAGAUUAAGGAAAACACGAUCAAAACAAACCACUCGGCACUCGCUGCGUCUCACCUCAUAGCCCUAUAGUCACGUCAUGUCACGUGAUUUUAUCAAACCCGGAAGUGCUCUUGAUUUUAUCGCUUAUUUGUUUAUUAACACAGCAAUGUGUUGUUUUAAGACUCAUAUAUUGUUACUCGGACAAUGAGAAAACAGAUUAAAUACGAAUUUCAAAAAACUAUUAACCUGACAUAUGCACUUUAACAUCUGCAGCCACAAGUCUGUAAAAGAAUCCUGAAUCCUGUAUGUAUGUAGUCAUUUUCAGAACUUUAAUCAAAUGCUUUCUGGAGUAUCUCCAAAUCGAUUGGGAAUCCAGAGAUUCAAAC
rnacentral:lncRNA from 1 species